rnacentral:rRNA from 1 species
AUUGAACGCUGGCGGCAGGCUUAACUCAUGCAAGUCGAGCGAGCGGCGGACGGGUGAGUAAUGUCUGGGAAACUGCCUGAUGGAGGGGGAUAACUACUGGAAACGGUAGCUAAUACCGCAUACCAUCAGAUGUGCCCAGAUGGGAUUAGCUAGUAGGUGGGGUAAUGGCUCACCUAGGCGACGAUCCCUAGCUGGUCUGAGAGGGUGACCAGCCAGAGUGGAACGGAGACACGGUCAAGACACCUACGGGAGGCAGCAGUGGGGAAUAUUGGACAAGAGGAGCAAGCUUGGGACAGCCAUGACGCGGGUGGGAAGAAUGCAUACGGGUUGUGAAGCACUUUCAGCGAGGAGGCAUUACUCGCAGAAGAAGCGCCGGCUAACUGCGUGCCAGCAGCCGCGGUAAUAC